AAUGGCUGAUUUUCACCUUGUCAGCUUAGGGAUUCGAUCUUGCAACCUUUGGGUUACUAGUCCAACGCUCUAACCACUAGGCAUCCUGCCGCCCGAUUGUGUCGAGGCACAGAUCUGGGGAAGGGUACCAAAAAAUUACUGCAGCAUUGUUAAACGGAAGAAGUUUGGAACCACCAAGACUCUUCCUAGAGCUGGCCGCUGGGCCAAACUGAGCAUUCGGGGGAGAAGGGCCUUAGUCAGGGAGGUGACCAAGAACCCAAUGGUUAUUCUGACAGAGCUCUAGAGUUCCUCUGUGGAGAUGGGAGAAAAUUCCAGAAGGACAACCAGGCCUUUAUGGUAGAGUGGCCAGAUGAAAGCCACUCCUCAGUAAAAGGCACAUGAAAUCCCACUUGGAGUUUGCCAAAAGGUACCUAAAGACAUGAGAAAGAUUCUCUGGUCUGAUGAAACCAAGAUUGAACUCUUUGGCCUGAAUGGCAAGCGUCACUUCUGGAGGAAACCUGGCACCAUUCGUACGGUGAAGCAUGGUGGUGGCAGCAUCAUGCUGUGAGGAUGUUUUCAGCGGUAGGGACUGGGAUACUAGUCAGGAUCGAGGAAAGAUGAACGAAGCAAAAAACAGAGAGAUCCUUGAAAACCUGCUCCAGAGUGCUCAGGAACUCAGACUGGGGUGAAGGUUCACCUUCCAACAGGACAACGACCCUAAGCACACAGCCAAGACAACGCAGGAGUAGCUUCGGGACAAGUCUCUGAAUGUCCAAAUACAGGAGUACCAAGCUUGUAGCGUCAUACCCAAGAAGACUCGAGGUUGUAAUUGCUGCCAAAAGGUGCUUCGACAAAGUACCGAGUAAAGGGUCUGAAUUACUUAUGUGAAUGUGAUCAGUUUAAAAAAACAAAAACAUUUGCAAAUAAUGUCUAAAAACCUGUUUUUGCUUUUUCUUAUGGGGUAUUGUGUGUAGAUUGAUGAGGUGAAAAAACAAUUGAAUACAUUUUAGAAUAAGGCUGGAACGUGACAAAAUGUGGAAAAAGUCAAGGGGUCUGAAUACUUUCCGAAAGCACUGUAAUUCUACGGGUUCCUAUUCAUGCACAAAUUGCACAUUAUCCCCCUGCGUUCAUGCCUUGAUAUAGUUUUUACUUCUUGUAUAACUGCAUUGCAAUAAUAUAUCAUUUCCAAGUUUGGACAGUGCUCUUUAUUUCAUAGCUGGAUUCACACAUCUGAAUUUGUGGUCACUGACAAAAUGUCAGUUUUUACAUUGUUCUCAUAUCCUGUACUAAAUGUAAACUUGGUUUUUAUAAUGGAUAAAUAAAGUAUGUUUUGUAUAUUUCUUUUAAACAUUUAGAUUUGAAAGGGGAGGUGCUUUUACAAGCCUCUUGUUUUUUUUAUGUCUCCUGCACAUGUGCAUUUAUUUAGUCUUUUAAUUAUCAUAAUAUUGUCUUUUUCUUGUUUAAAUAAACAUUUAAUAAUGUAACAUAUGUACUUAACAUGGAAAAUAUGCAGUGGUCAAUCUUGAGAAAUAACCAUUAAAACGUUAAAAUACAAUGAUUGUCUCGAAUACAGUAUGUUGAAUGAUAGACCAUGUUAUAUGUAUGAAUUUUAUCAAACUAAGUGUGUAUGUACAAACACAUGCACACGCCCAUGCUUCAGUAAUAGUCAGAAGUUCCUCAUAUGAACGAAAAUGUGACUGAGGUCUGACCUUAGUUCCCAGUCAGCCAGACAAUUUACAGAGCAAAGAUGUUCAUAUACCUUAACUUUCUAAUCCUUGGGUAUAUCUACAAUACCUGCGCUGGGUUACUCCAAAAGACAAUACCCGAGAAACAAACAGUAACCUUGAUCUGUAAUCACCCUGUGGGAAGUUGCGUAACAUGGAGCAGAGAAUUAGAUUGCAAGACAGUAGACAUUGUCACUAUUCAAGAUGGAGUCAAUGACAGAAAGCACAUUUCUGAUCCAGGCAACCAUUAUGGCUCAAUAAUAGACAAGUCAUUGGUUAUAGUGAGUUCGAAAGCCUCAGACUCUGGGACCUACUUCUGCAACAUGCAACCAACAGUAUAUCUAAGAGUGACAUCAAACAAUGGCAAGAGUGUCCCAAUAACCAACUGUUCUGGAGAGAGAAGACCAAACACCAAACACAAUAAUACUAAGCAAGUGUUGGUUGGUGUAGUUUCUGGUUUUGGGGUGCUUCUGUUAAUGAGCAUCUUCAUCUGGAGAUAUUUCUCAAAAAGAAGAGCAGUAAGGGCUGAAGCGGAAGGCAAGAACAUUGCAGACGACCACAUCUAUGCUGUCAUACAGGAUCAUGGGGCCAGGCCGAUAGCAGAACGCAGCACUCAGGGUCAGAGUCAGUCUAUAUAUCACCUGGCAGGUGUUCCAGGAAUGAAAGGUGAAGGUACUCCUAAACAAAGUGAAUCCCCUUAUGUCAUGCUCCAUAUUCCGCAAACUGAAGUCACAACAGUGAGGGCAUGAACUCCUUCGCAAUAAAUCUACAGGAAAUGAUCAUGACGAGUCUUUGCAAGUCACUCUGAGUCAUUAAGACAUUACUUUGUUUUUUCACACGGCUAUUUGAUAUUGGUGUAUUUUCUCCAUCCAGUAGCCUUGAUGUGUGUGAACUUGUUUUGCCUCAGAAUACUGGAGUAUGUAUAUGUCACCUUAAAUGAGAUAAGUUCCUUUUUCAUGAUCUAACUGGAAUGGUCAGUGAAUUGCUUAGCUUUUAAUGCAGGAAUAGUAAACACAAUUCUUGUAUACACACACAAUCAAUCACACACUGCCAAAAUACAGUGCAUUCGCAAAGUAUUCAGAC